UGUGGAGAUAAACACAUCCUAGUGUCCUGCAUAGGACGAAGGUGCACUGCUGUGAAAUUGCAUUCAGGAGGGGUUGACCUAAUUAGCCAUGGGCAAUCAAAACAAAUUCAGUCAAGACAAAUUCUCAGGAAAACCAGCAUAUGGAAAGUCAGCUCAGGAAUCAUCCCAGUGGAUCCAUGCCAGGAAAGGAGUGUGAUUAGCAGGUCAAAAAGGAGAAUCUCACAUCAGGAGAAACAGGCAGCUCAGCAGUUCAGGGAUAGGGGGUGGAACCUGGGGUUUUCAGAGAAAAAUCCUUGUCCAGAACUGAGUCAUUAUGACAGCAUUAAUGAUAGGGGACAGAAACAGAUGAAUAAUAGGAGAGUGCUUUUACUAUGUCAUUACAGAACAAGGGCAAAAUCCAAAUUAGGCCACUGUUGCUGAAAAUCAGAGGUGAAAGUAUAGAUGUGUUUGAUUAAAACUGGGAAAACAGGCAGGCUGAGGCUGUAGAACAAUGAAUUGUUUUCUCUUGAAAAAAUCCAAAGCCAAAGAAAUGAAAAUGCAGACAUUAGAGGGUCCAAAACAUCGUCUUCCAAGUGCGGUUUUGGACUCAUUUGUGAGAGAAGUUUUAAAAUGCUCAGCAAGUCACUGCAGAUUUUCCUCCAGUCCCUUCAGCACUGUCUUUGAUAGAGAAUCUGGAAGAAGCCAUCUAUGCAAGAAGGAAACUGUUAUGGGGGCUCCAACAGAUGGAGUUUAAGUGCUUCCAUUUUGUAUUUUUCCAUUCCAAGAUGGCCUAGGGAUGUCUGCUCACAGUCUGCUGUGGCACCUCAUCACUUCUGGAUGGAGUGACAUUGUUUUCUUCAACAGUUUGAAUGCCACCGCCAGAGACCGAGGCCCCCAGCCCAGGGCGUGAAGCUGGAGGCAGCUGCCUGUAGUGGCCAUAGUGGCCACCAGUCUGAACAGGACUAUUGGAUGUGACCAGCCUCAGAAACUAUGCCCUCCUCAUAGGUCUGAAAGGCAGAGAAGUACCAUACCCACUGCAGCAUUUGCCUGUACAGAGAUGUGCAGAAAAGCUAAUGGUUUUAACUUCCAUGGCAGGUAGCAUAAGCUGGCCUAAAUGCUUGCUCUGGACAAACCUAACAGGGAUCAAAAGAGACGUUAAUUUAGCCAGGCUUAAUUCACCUCUAGACCUGCCUGUCUGAUCAAGCCAAAAGGAAGUGAGCCACACUGCAUUAGUCACCUUAAUUCUGAACAAGAUUGAAGCUACAGGGCUUAAAGUCUUCCAAGCAAUUUCGUACUCAAUGCCUUGACUCCGUUUGGAUUUGCUUUUCUGCAAGUCUCUGUGUAGAGGACACCUCAGAGGUGAAAGACUUUGGAACAGGGUAAUUUAGGGCCCAGUUUUUACUUGAUUCCAAGGAGAUUUAUGAACCUUGGCCAUUAGAAACAAGUGAGAGUGAUUGUGGAGGAAAAUGACACCUGAGAAGCAAAAGCACAGAGUAGUAAUGGAGAUACUAUCCUGGGAAACCCUACGCUGUUGUCUGCUUCUAACACUGACAAAUAUUCCUCUCCAUACCUCAGUUUCCCUACCUAUAAAAUGAGAAGGAUUUACAUGGCAGAUGUGUGCAAAGCAAAUGGUAUCUCAAUGGAGGGCGUAUGUGAAUAAAAGGUGUCUGCAGCCAAUUUUUUCUUUCUGC
ensembl:lncRNA